CAAUUUAAAUUUUGUAAUGUAUUAUUUUUAGAACAAACCUAAUCUAUUUUGAGACAUGUACUGCAUAAUGUUUAAUUAUGUUUUAGGGGAAAAACAUUGCACUCCAAAAGAAACUCUAAGAGGACAUAAAAGUUGCCGCCAAAACUUUUGAAGGAGAUAUCAGACAUUCUCUGCUCCUGUUGGGGAUCCCGCUCCCGGCAAGCUUGUUACGAAGAGGAAGAUGUUCACACAGAGUUCAUUUCACUUUUGAAAGACUUUUGUUUGAUAUGUUUGUUUAAAUAAAGUUCCUGUCUCUAAAAUC